AUGAACGCUGGCGGCGUGCUUCACCCAUGCCAGUCGAACGAAGCACUUAAGAUUGAUUCUUCGGAUGACGUCUUUUGUGACUUAGUGGCGGACGGGUGAGUAACGCGUGGGUAACCUGCCUCACACAGGGGGAUAACAGUUAGAAAUGACUGCUAAUACCGCAUAACCCGAUAGGAUCGCAUGAUCCAGACGGAAAAGAUUUAUCGGUGUGAGAUGGACCCGCGUCUGAUUAGCUAGUUGGUGAGGUAACGGCCCACCAAGGCGACGAUCAGUAGCCGGCCUGAGAGGGUGAACGGCCACAUUGGGACUGAGACACGGCCCAAACUCCUACGGGAGGCAGCAGUGGGGAAUAUUGCACAAUGGGGGAAACCCUGAUGCAGCGACGCCGCGUGAGUGAAGAAGUAUUUCGGUAUGUAAAGCUCUAUCAGCAGGGAAGAAAAUGACGGUACCUGACGAAGAAGCCCCGGCUAACUACGUG
rnacentral:rRNA from 1 species